rnacentral:rRNA from 1 species
UACGUAGGGUGCAAGCGUUGUCCGGAAUUAUUGGGCGUAAAGAGCUCGUAGGCGGUCUGUCGCGUCUGCUGUGAAAGUCCAGGGCUCAACCCUGGACCUGCAGUGGGUACGGGCAGACUAGAGUGCGGUAGGGGAGAUCGGAAUUCCUGGUGUAGCGGUGAAAUGCGCAGAUAUCAGGAGGAACACCGGUGGCGAAGGCGGAUCUCUGGGCCGUAACUGACGCUGAGGAGCGAAAGCAUGGGGAGCGAACAGG